rnacentral:rRNA from 1 species
AUACGUAGGGUGCGAGCGUUGUCCGGAAUUACUGGGCGUAAAGAGCUCGUAGGUGGUUUGUCGCGUCGUCUGUGAAAUUCCGGGGCUUAACUCCGGGCGUGCAGGCGAUACGGGCAUAACUUGAGUACUGUAGGGGAGACUGGAAUUCCUGGUGUAGCGGUGAAAUGCGCAGAGAUCAGGAGGAACACCGGUGGCGAAGGCGGGUCUCUGGGCAGUAACUGACGCUGAGGAGCGAAAGCAUGGGUAGCGAACAGGAUUAGAUACCCUGGUAGUCCAUGCCGUAAACGGUGGGCGCUAGGUGUAGGGGUCUUCCACGACUUCUGUGCCGUAGCUAACGCAUUAAGCGCCCCGCCUGGGUAGUACGGCCGCAAGGCUAAAACUUAAAGGAAUUGGCGGGG